UCGAUGCUGUAAGGCUUCCUACUUCCGAUUCUUGCCAUGGAUUCCCGUGACCGAAUCUUUCAUGGAGCUUGAUGUCUAACAGUGGGGCAUUCAAAAAGUAGUAUCCACAAGGGUUGGUGAUCUUGGUGCAGAUUCCAAUCUCAUGUGUUCGCCACAUUGGGCACCUGGUCCACUUGGAGAUUACCCAGGAAGGUUUUGGCCCUCCACUUAUCUCCAAGAGAUGAUUUGAAGCUUUAUGGAAAGCAGCUUGACAUCAAUUUACUGGAGUUCAAGAUUCAGGUAAAUUAUUUUUCUUUUGCUUGACAAAGAUGUCGGGCCAUAUCUUACCUGCUUCAUAUCCAUCCAUCCAUGAUAACAAAUCCUAGGAUUCAACAUCAAAAAAUGAUUA